rnacentral:lncRNA from 1 species
GGCCGGUGUGGAUGUUGGGACAUCUGUGUAUUAGUUCCAUGUGGCUGCUGUCACAAAUUACUACAAACUUGGUAGCUUAAAAAAACAGAAAUUUAUUACUUCACAGUCCAGGAGGACAGAAGUUGGAAAUUUGUUUCACUGGGUUCAAAUCAAGGUGUUGACAGGGCCAAGCUCCCUCCAGAGGCUCUAGCGGAGCUCUCUGUGGCUUCUGGUAGCUGCAGGCAUUCAUUGGCUUGUGGCCGCAUCCCUCCAAUCUCCACCUCCAUCUUCAUUAUCACCUUUACUGUGUGUCCCAUCUCCUGCUGCCUCUUCCUUGUAAGGACACUUGUGAUGGUAUUUAGGACCCACCUGAAUAAUCCAGGAUAAUUUUCUCAUCUCAAAAUCUUCAUUUAAACCCUUGUACACUGUUGGUGGGAAUGUAAGAAGGUACAGUCACUAUGUAAAACAGUAUGACAGUUUCCCAAAAAAAUUAAACAUAGAAUUACCAUAUGGUCCAGCAAUUCCUCUCCUGGGUAUAGGCCCCAAAGAACUGAAAGCAGAAUCUAAGGAGAUAUGUGUACACCCAUGUUCACAGCAGCACUAUUCACAAUAGCUACAAAGUGAAAGUAAUGCAAUGUCCAUCAAAGGAUGAAUAAACAAAUGUGCUAUAUACACACAAUGGCAUAUGAUUCAGCCUUCAAAAGGAAGGAAAUUCUCUCAUACACUACAGAAAUAAGCCAGUCACAAAAGGGCAAAGACUAUAUGAGUCUACCUUUGUAUUUCAUUUUAUUUUUGAGACAGGGUCUUGUUCUGUCACCCAGGCUGGAGCACAAUGGUGUGAUCCUAGCUCAUUGCAGCCUCUGACUCCUGGGCUCAAGUGAUUCUCCCACGUCAGCCUCCCCAGUAGCUGGGACCACAGGUGUGCACCACCACACCUGGUAUAUUAGUCCGUUUUCACACUGCCAA